GAUGAAGAACGCAGCAAAAUGCGAUAAGUAAUGUGAAUUGCAGAAUUCAGUGAAUCAUCGAAUCUUUGAACGCACAUUGCGCCCGCUGGUAUUCCGGCGGGCAUGCCUGUUCGAGCGUCAUUUCAACCCUCAAGCCCCCGGGUUUGGUGUUGGGGAUCGGCUCUGCCCUUCUGGGCGGUGCCGCCCCCGAAAUACAUUGGCGGUCUCGCUGCAGCCUCCAUUGCGUAGUAGCUAACACCUCGCAACUGGAACGCGGCGCGGCCAUGCCGUAAACCCCCAACUUCUGAAUGUUGACCUCGGAUCAGGUAGGAAUACCCGCUGAACUUAAGCAUAUCAAUAAGCGGAGGA
rnacentral:misc_RNA from 1 species